rnacentral:rRNA from 1 species
UACGAAGGGGGCUAGCGUUGUUCGGAUUUACUGGGCGUAAAGCGCACGUAGGCGGCUUUUUAAGUCAGGGGUGAAAUCCUGGAGCUCAACUCCAGAACUGCCUUUGAUACUGGGAAGCUUGAGUCCGGAAGAGGUGAGUGGAACUCCGAGUGUAGAGGUGAAAUUCGUAGAUAUUCGGAAGAACACCAGUGGCGAAGGCGGCUCACUGGUCCGGUACUGACGCUGAGGUGCGAAAGCGUGGGGAGCAAACAGG